UACGGGGGGGGCAAGCGUUGUUCGGAAUUACUGGGCGUAAAGGGCUCGUAGGCGGCCAACUAAGUCGGACGUGAAAUCCCCAGGCUCAACCUGGGAACUGCGUCCGAUACUGGAUGGCUUGAAUUCGGGAGAGGGAUGCAGAAUUCCAGGUGUAGCGGUGAAAUGCGUAGAUAUCUGGAGGAACACCGGUGGCGAAGGCGGGUCUCUGGGCAGUAACUGACGCUGAGGAGCGAAAGCGUGGGGAGCGAACAGG
rnacentral:rRNA from 1 species